AAUAGCUAAUGUAUGAAAUGAAUACUAGAAAUAUUUACUAUGUUUAUGGAAGUAAGGGAAGGUUAUUCAGAUUUUUAAAAAAUGCCAUUCGACAGAAUGUUAUCACCAGUGAUUGUAUUUGAAAAAUAUACUGCAUCUAAAGAUACAUUUGAGGUCGAAUAUGUUGAGAAUUUACAAGUGAAACAAAUAAAUGCAAUCUAUACAGUGUGGUGCAACGCAAGCGGAGUCAGGGUUUUGUGAACCCUGAGAGAAAGAAAGAUGAAGAGACAGCUGCUAUCCCUUCCCUGGUGACAUUCCAGUGCCUCGUCUUUCCCACUGCGAGCCUGGAAUAGGGAGAUGGUGCUGUAUCUGUAACAUGAAAAUCAUAUAUUUUAAAAUCACGUAAGUCAUGUCACAUCAUGCCUUUAUUAGACAGAUAUUCUUAUUGAAAGAAAUUUACACAACGGGUAUAAAAUGAUAACGAGAUUUAUUUUCUUACAUAUAUAUUUUAAAUUUUUCUACAUCACUAAACGUAAUAUAUAUGAAAUUACAUUACCAAGCAAUAGGCUUAUAUUGUCUAUCAUAGCCAUACCGCAGCCACUACCACUACCACUUUUGGCCACAUACACUGUGGUAAGUCCAAUAUGAGUUGUAUCAUAACUAUAAAAUACACAGUGAAUUUCAAAUUAUUUGUGUGAUAAAAAUAAUGUAGAAAAUGUAUAUAUUACAUACAUAUAUAUGUACAUAUACAUAAUAAAAUGAUGUAGAUGUAGAUACCAAAAGCCAUUCAGUCUUUUAUCACUGAACAUGAUGUUAGCUCUAGGUAUAAAGUUGUUGCCCUUUAUCAACUUAAGGAAAUCAAUUUAUAUUGCUACAUUGAUCAUUUUUAAAAUAAAACAUUUACUAGAUUUUGUCAAGUGCUUUUUUUAAAUCUAUUGAGACAGUCAUAUGUUUACUUGUUUGUUUGUUUGUUUUUAGUCUAUAAUAUGUUGAAAACCCUCGAUUUGUAUUCAAAUGUUAAACCACUCCUUCAUUUCUUGGGUGAACUCUGCUAG
rnacentral:lncRNA from 10 species